rnacentral:pre_miRNA from 1 species
GACGGAUCAAAUCCAAUCCAUUAACAAAUUUUUUUAUUUGAUGGAUGGAUUUGAUGGAUUUUGUA